CUGCAGUGGGCGCAUGCUAUACAUGCAGUCGAGCGCGGUAGCUGAACGGAACUCUUCGGAGGGAAGUUCGUGGAACGAGCGGCGGACGGGUGAGUAACACGUAGGCAACCUGCCUGUAAGACUGGGAUAACUCGCGGAAACGCGAGCUAAUACCGGAUAACACUUUCUAUCACCUGAUGGAAAGUUGAAAGGCGGCUUUUGCUGUCACUUACAGAUGGGCCUGCGGCGCAUUAGCUAGUUGGUGAGGUAACGGCUCACCAAGGCGACGAUGCGUAGCCGACCUGAGAGGGUGAUCGGCCACACUGGGACUGAGACACGGCCCAGACUCCUACGGGAGGCAGCAGUAGGGAAUCUUCCGCAAUGGACGAAAGUCUGACGGAGCAACGCCGCGUGAGUGAUGAAGGUUUUCGGAUCGUAAAACUCUGUUGUCAGGGAAGAACAAGUACGAUAGUAACUGAUCGUACCUUGACGGUACCUGACCAGAAAGCCACGGCUAACUACGUGCCAGCAGCCGCGGUAAUACGUAGGUGGCAAGCGUUGUCCGGAAUUAUUGGGCGUAAAGCGCUCGCAGGCGGUUCUUUAAGUCUGAUGUGAAAUCUUGCGGCUCAACCGCAAACGUGCAUUGGAAACUGGAGGACUUGAGUGCAGAAGAGGAGAGUGGAAUUCCACGUGUAGCGGUGAAAUGCGUAGAGAUGUGGAGGAACACCAGUGGCGAAGGCGACUCUCUGGUCUGUAACUGACGCUGAGGAGCGAAAGCGUGGGGAGCGAACAGGAUUAGAUACCCUGGUAGUCCACGCCGUAAACGAUGAGUGCUAGGUGUUAGGGGGUUUCCGCCCCUUAGUGCUGAAAGUUAACGCAUUAAGCACUCCGCCUGGGGAGUACGGCCGCAAGGCUGAAACUCACAAGAAUUGACGGGGGACCCGCACAAAGCCGUGGGAGAAAUGUG
rnacentral:rRNA from 1 species